GAGUUAUUAUGGCGGAAAAAAAAGGAACCUUCAGGUUUCUUUUGUAGAAAACGCAAAUUAGAUGUGGAGACAGAAGACAAAAAUCAAGCAAAAACAUUGAGUAAAUUUUUCUCUAGAUUAGAAAAACAAUAUGUAAACAAUAAUCAGCAAUUUCAGGAGCAGAAGAUGUCAGAAGAAAAUCCCCAGUCUCAAGUUUUAAAAGACAUUCCUAUAGACGCAGUUAAAUCUUUUUCUCUAAGAACACUUACAUUACCAAUCAAGUACGAGUAUGUCAAGUUCACCAUUUUCAUUUAAGGUUU